rnacentral:lncRNA from 1 species
AGGAGGUCCCUAGAAGUGAGGGAGUUCCAGAUACCCCGUCCUGGUGGAUGCUGCUGCAAGUUAGUGUUUGUGUGCGGUGAGGGGUAGGAAGUGGGUAGAACUCAGAAAUAGACCACAGUGCUUCUGCGCAGAAAAGCAGACCACCCGCUGGGGUACCGGCUUCUCUGUCCUGGCGGAUCCGGGUGUGGCGGGGACGAGAAUCGCUCCCAUGCUUAACCCUGACGUUUGGAAAUCCUUCCCGGACAUUGUCAUUGUGAGACUCUCACGCGCCCGGCAGCCUCGGCACGUGGCUGACGGUGAUUUGCUGGAAGUCGUGUUGGAAAUGCGGCUCAGUGGCUGACUUCACAGUAGUAGAAACAGCUCCACCCAAAACUUAGGUGCUUUUUCUUAAGCAGGUUCAAGGAGGUUAUUUUCUCCCUUUGGUUUUCUUUCGGAUGUGUGUUGUAACAUGAACCAAAGCGGGACACAGGUGCAGUUACCGUGGGGUCCCACGUCAGCCUGAAUUUCCUGCCGGGCCGACACACAGCCUGGCCCUCGUGGGUGGGGUGGGAGGGUGCAGAGAGGCACAGAGGGCCAUGGUCGGUGGAAGGGCUUCCCGUCUCUUGCCUGGUCCUGUUGGUGAAAAUGAAGGGCUCUUGUUCCAGGCCUGUCACCUUGGCACCCUUUAAUUAACAGUGAACUCACUUCAUUCUGUGAUUUUAAAAGCUGAUGCAUUUCACCCAAAUGAACGUAACCCCACCUAUUUGUCGUUGAAGUAGAGCUUUCCUGGAGGACCACAUCUUCUCGACAGGUCGCAGGUCUGGCCUUGCCCGGCGCUGGUGAGCCCCAGCUGGCUUAGACCGUGUAGCUCGUCUGUUAAAGUCUGACCAGAAGUGGCCGGGCGCAGUGGCUCAUGCCCGUAAUCCCAGCACCUUGGGAGGCUGAGGCGGGUGGAUCACGAGGUCAGGAGUUCAAGACCAGCCUGGCCAAGAUGGUGAGACCCGCCCCCCCACUCCCCAUCUCUACUAAAAAUACAAAAAAUUAGCCAGGUGUGGUGGCAGGCGCCUGUAAUCUCAGCUACUCGGGAGGCUGAGGCAGAGAAUUGCCUGAACCCAGGAGGUGGACAUUGCAGUGAACUGAGAUGACGCCACUGCACUCCAGCCUGGGCAACUGAGCAAGACUGUCUCAAAAAAAAAUCUGGCCAGAAGUCCAGUCGAGGGAAAGUUUAUCGCCGCAGAGACAGAUGUAGGGGUGGUCAAGAGCGUGGCCCUCUGUGAGGAGGAUGUAAAGUCCUCCAGGCCCAGCUCCGGGGCUCUCUGGUACUAGCUCCAGGCGCAGAGGGAGUCUCUGAGAACAGGGUUGCUGGGGACAGCCGCGGUGCCUGACCUGCAGGCCUCCAUCGUUGCUGUCUGCAACUUCAGCCUCUGCCCUGAAGCUGUGGGGAAAGCUGAUCUGAAUCGUCCCCGAGAGCUUGGGGAGCGCCGAGGGGGCAUGCAGGGCUGUGGCCAGCAGCGUGAACCCCUCGAGACUGUGGCACCCCUCCUCCUCCUCAGUCCGACAGCUGGCUCCCAAGGGAUCUCCCGCAGCCUCGGGGUGAUGCAGGAGAUCUUCGCCACCAAUGUGUUUCCCAUCUGUGCUCCUCAAAGAAGGCCCCAGCCCACGCAGCAGGAGGACACACUGCCGAAGGGACCAGUUGGACGGCCUUCUGGCUUUAGCGCCUGUGCCUUUCAGGACCUUAAAUACAGAAAGGAACCGAGUGCUCUGUGCAGCCCCUCCAAGACGGUCGCUACAGCGCCAGCACCACCUGCGCCGGGCCAUCAUGCCGUGACCGGACUUGGUUUACGAAUACAGUGUACGAGGUUAAGAUAUGAUAAAGUGUAAAAAUAUAUGUUAUAGCCACGGUGGUUAGUUUAACAUGUUUUGUAUAUAUGAUUUUUAUAAAUCUAUUAAAAUGUG